UUAUAUUAUGAUUUAAGUAGUUAAAAGAUUUUAUAUUAGCAUUAAGAAAAUACAUUUAAUAAAAAAUUUAAAUGAUGAUCCAAAUAAAAAUAUCGCACAUGAAUCAAUGUGAGUUUGUUAACCAAUCCAGGUUUUUAGGAGUCGAUGUUAUAUUAGAAAUGAUAUAUUAUUAAUUCAUAUUAUUAGUAAUAAAUGAAUGAUAAUUGAUUUCUAGCAAGGGUCCAUUUAAAAAAAAAUCACACAUGAAUCAAGGUUGUGACUUCUGUUUUAAUAUAUAAGAUAAAGUCAAACUGUGCUUACAUGCAUAACUAAAAUAUUGGACCAAAAGAAAAAAAAUUUGUUCGACAAAAAAAAAAAGGAGAAAGGAAAUUUAAAACCUAUAAAAAAUUAAAAUACGUGGACAAAUCCCACAAAGUCAUCUUCCUGCUUUUUGUUGAGCUCACAUUUUAGAUCUUGAUUAAGAAAAUACAGAACAUGCCUUCUAUUAAUAAACAAUCCGCUUCCAUAUCAAAAUAUACGGUUCCGAUCUUUCGUUUUAAAGAAUUGCGGUUCCGUUGCGAUUCCAAAUGUUUCCGAAGCAGGAAUCAAAGCAUGAGUGACGGUUCCAUGCUACAUAAACCCCACGAAGCUCUUAAUUUUCCAGAAGUCGAAUUUGGCGAGCCCAAAAUAAUUGAGUCGUUGGAAUUAACCCCUGAGGAAUGUACUGUAUUUGAUGAAAAACACCUACUUUCUCGUGAACCAUGAUCGAUAAUGAGAGCUCUUCUCAGUCGAGGAGAGGGAGAGGUUAAUCAUCGCAAUCCGGGUCUGACCCAAAACCGACCAAAUUUGCAAUCCUCAAUUAUCUGCUCUACGAUCGAGAAGAUUUGAAGAACUUUAAAAACCCUUCUCGAAUAUUGGAUGGAUAAUCUGGGGAAAAGAUGAGUUUUUCAAUUGGUGUUUGAUUCGUCAUAGCAAGUAGAGGAUGGUUUACAUUUUCACUAUGUAUAAUUUAUUAAGAAAUCAAAUGUGGGUUUGUUAACCAAUCCAGUUUUAUAUGAGUUGAUGUUAUAUUAGGAAUGAUAUAUUAUUAAACCAUAUUAUUAAUAAUAAAUGAAUGAUGAUUAAUUUCUAGUGAAUGUCCAUUUUCUUAAAAAAUCACACAUGAAUGAAGGUUGUGACUUCUGUUUUAAUAUAUAAGACUAGAUAUUGACCCGUCCUCGAGAGGGCGGGUAUAUUUUUUGUUUUAAAAUUUUUUACCUAAUAUAAUUUAUAUGUUUCUGUGUUUGUUUUUUUUUUUUUGAAACACAUGUUUGUAAAUAUGUUAACAUAUGUUAUCCUAUUUGUCACGGUUUCCAUAACUAUACACUUGUGCCGUACACAUUUAGUUAACCUGGAUCUCUCUGUCACGGUUUCUUAAAUGGAGGAUAACAUAUGUUAACGUAAUUAAAGUUGAGGGUUUAUUUCAUAAGAUUUUUAGUUGAGGGUUUAUUUUACAAUUAAUCUUUAGUUGAGGGGUUUAAUUACUAAAAACCCUUAUAUCUUCUACUUAAUUUACUAUUUGAAAUUAAUUAAAUAAAUCAAAUUAAAAUUAAAAAUUAUGUUAAAAUUUGAUUUAUUUGGAUAUAUAUUAGUCCGCACAAGUGUGCGGGUCAUCAUCUAGUUAAACAGUAAUUAAAUAGACAGAUU
rnacentral:lncRNA from 1 species